rnacentral:misc_RNA from 1 species
GAUGAAGAACGCAGCGAAAUGCGAUAAGUAAUGUGAAUUGCAGAAUUCAGUGAAUCAUCGAAUCUUUGAACGCACCUUGCACCCUUUGGCAUUCCGAAGGGUAUGCUCGUUUGAGUGUCAUUGUACUCUUACUCUCCCGAUGCUUUUGGAUCGGGAGUGGUGGACUUGGGUGUUGCUGCUUUGCUGUGGCUCGCCUCAAAUGGAGUAGUGCAACUCUUGGUUGGACAUAGUACGGCGUGAUAAGUGUCUUCGCCGGCGCCUCAUUAUAGAGGGUGGCCGAUCGGGAGCUCUGUGCUUCAAACCGUCUUCGGACAACAUCUGACAACUUGACCUCAAAUCGAGUAGGACUACCCGCUGAACUUAAGCAUAUCAAUAAGCGGAGGA